rnacentral:lncRNA from 1 species
CUGCAUAAAUGUCUUCUUUUGAGAAGUGUCUUUUCAUAUCCUUUGCCCACUUUUUGAUGGGGUUGUUUGUUUUUUUCUCGUAAAUUUGUAUGAGUUCAUUGUGGAUUCUGGAUAUUAGUCCUUUGUCAGACGAGUAGAUUGCGAACAUUUUCUCCCAUUCUGUAGGUUGCCUGUUCACUCUGAUGGUAGUUUCUUUAUUUUUAAUAACCACCUACAGUUAUUUAUUCAUUCAUUUUAGCUAUUACUAAGUUUUAGGUAUCCAGUUGAGAACAUUAUAUUUACUUUAGCAAAUAAAAUACAGGAAUUCAAAUUCUUGAAUUCCAGAUAAGCAGAAAAGAAGUUUUAGCUUACAUACAUCCUGUGCAAUAUUUGAUACCUAUAUAUAGUGACUUGAGUAAUGGCCUUGAAAGAAGAUAUGUUCAUGGUGCUAACACCUGUGAAAAUGACCUAUUUAGAAAAAGGUUUUGUAGAUGUAAUUAAGGUUCUGGAGAUGAGUCAUCUUGGAAUUAGAAAGGGCCCUAAAUGUAGUGGUGAGUGUCCUUAUAAAAAGGGAGAAGAACACACACACACACAUACACACAUGAUGUGAACAUCGAGGCAAUUCGGAGUGAAGCGUCUGCAUGCCAAGGGGCACCGAGGACUUCCAGCAGCCACUAGAAACCGGGAGGGAGGCCUGAAAUAGAUUAUCCGUCACAGGCUCAGAAGGAAGCAGACCUGCUGACAUCUUCAUUUUGGACCUGUAAAAUCCUGAACUAUGAGAUGGGGAAGGGUGGAAGAGAGGAGGAGAAACAUAGGGCACCAGAGUAUUUGAGGACCUACAGAACAGCAGGAGCUCAAGACGGUCUACCACUGGAUACAAAAAAAGAGCCACCAGGCUGGCUGGAUGCAGAAGAGAGAGAUACAAGACCACAUGAUGGAAGGGGCCAUCCUCACUGACUUCACCACCUGGAAGGAAGCUAUGGAGGAGAAUUGCCCAAACAAAUACAACUGCAUCAAAUUUUGCCUCUGUAAGAAAUAGAUCUUUGUUAUGCUACAAUAGGUCCCUGAGAUUUGGAUUUUAUUUGUUAUAGUAGCUAGCAUUAUUUUUACUUAAUAAAUGGUUCUUAAUAAAUGGUUUACUUAAUAAAUGGUUCUCACGGUUCUGUAAAGCUGCAACAUGCUUUUAAAAUGUUCAGACACAAUGAUCAAACAACAGGAAGCCAAUAAAG